GACGGAGGGUGCAAGCGUUGUUCGGAAUUACUGGGCGUAAAGGGCGCGUAGGCGGUCUGUUAAGUUCGGUGUGAAAGCCCCCGGCUCACCUGGGGAACUGCGCCGGAAACCGACAGACUCGAGUACCGGAGAGGAGGGUGGAAUUCCUGGUGUAGCGGUGAAAUGCGUAGAUAUCAGGAGGAACACCGGUGGCGAAGGCGGCCCUCUGGACGGAUACUGACGCUGAGGCGCGAAAGUGUGGGGAGCGAACAGG
rnacentral:rRNA from 1 species